UGCUGUCACCUUUCAGUUUCUAUGAUAAACCAUGCACCCUGACUUCGCUUGGGUAGAAAUCCUGAUUGCAUCACCUUUCCCCACAUUUCAGACUACUUACUCUCCCCAUAAGCACUCUCAAGCCCAUUUUAGGUUAGUAGAGUUUAAUUUUGUUUUUCCAUCUCCGCACAGCAGUCUCAUGAAUAACAUCUUUUUUCUUUAGCAAAAACCGGUUGUGUAACUGCCGGCGGGUUCGUGCUUUCUCUAACUUCAAAAAGCCGCGGACCUUCACAGUACAGGGUGUUGAUUGGUGCGUUUUACAAUCCUCUUGCAAGACAGAAAAGUUCUCCAAGUUUCCACUGGACCCAGGAAGUCCAGCUGGCUUCACCUCUCACCAUGGCCACAUUGGCUCCUAGCAUGCAGGCAGAACGAAUCUGUUCACUAACAAUGGGACUACUGCUACAAACAUGGUCCAUCAUUCACUGAGUCACUGUUUUGUGGCACAUUACUGUACAUACUGCUGUGGCCUAAGUAAGUCAACCAAACAAAAUAGCAGGCUAAACCUGUCAGUCAAAAUGUGGGGCAUUCCUGGGGCAGGCCCCCUGCAGCAGAUAGUCUGGGACUUACUGAAGUGUUAUUCAGAGUCUUGUUACUCAACCCACCGAAGAAGGGAGGUGAAUGUGAAAAAUAAUCUGUAGAUCUUCACAAUGUCUCUAGGGCUUGGAUCUGGGAAUUGACGUUGUAGAAGAGGCUGACCUCCAAAAAGACAAGAUUUCUUAUGUCCACUCCUUUUCUAAGUCAAAGCUUAUGAACAAAUUGGAACACAAGUGAUUGUGAACCACUACUGUCACCCGUCUUUUUGCAAAACUUAUUUUUUGAGCCCAAGAGAUUCUUCCCAGGCAUGUUUUUCCUCUUAAAUUAAAAAAAAAAAAAAAAAAAAAAAAAAAACUGUUCUGUAGGAAAUCUAAUCCAUAUGUUUGUUUCCUUUAGUCAUCAAACUGAUGCCUGGUUAAUGGGAGUUCAUGACCAAAUACUUUUCCAUUAAAACAGGAAAUUAUUUUUUGUUCACCGUAAACAAAUUAAAACUCCAGAGAUGUUUGAAUCUCCUUUGAAGUGUGCUGCCCUUAAGCUUUUUCUUCUUUUUUUUUUUCUUUUUUUUGAGACGAAGUCUUGCUCUUGUCCCCUAGGCUAGAGUGCAAUGGCGCCAUCUCGGCUCAGUGCAACCUCUGCCUCCUGGGGCUCAAACAAUUCUCCUGCCUCAGCCUACCUAGUAGCUGGGAUUACAGGCAUGCGCCACCACACCAGGCUAAUUUUUGCAUUUUUUAGUAGAGACGGGGUUUCACCAUGUUGGCCAGGCUGGUCUCUAACUCCUGACUUCAAGUGAUCCCCACGCUUCGGCUUCCCAAAGUGCUGGGAUUACAGGCACCCAGCUAAACUUCAAGAGCGAUCUAAACUAAAAUAAGCAUUUCCUAAGCCAUGCUUUCAAUCUCAUGCUUGGCUUUUAGAGCUCCUUGUUAUAUACAAGCCAUAUACUGAGCAUCAGGAACAAAAGGUAAUACUGAAGCCACAAGAAAAUUAGUCAACCUUGUUCGUCUUGUUAAUUAACUCUUUAAAAUCCUACAGAGCAAUUUGAGGACUAGCUGUUCAUGCCAUUCAUGAAAACUGAUUGAAACCUUUACCACCACCUAGAGGUCAUUAAACUGUACUGCAAAAACAAGAAAAAAUGUUACUAAAGUGGCGCUGUAAAUUCUCAGGCAUUUUAUGAUUUUUCCAUUACCACACCAAACUUACAUAAUACUGGAUCCUUGGGAGAAGUAAAUGAUCUUCAUAAAAGAGGCACUUUUUAAACUCCCAAACAUAGAGUAAGUCAAGGAAUGGGAAAGAACAGCUGGGAAAACAGGUUGUUUCAAGAAUAUCCCUUCCUUGAGCUAAAACUGCCACUUCCUGUACCAGCAACUAGAUUUCGAAGAUGCACAUUCAACACCUGCUCCAGAGAGGCAGCCAUCAAUGCCGCCAUCUUGCUUUCUAGGGGAGAAAGGUUUGGGAGACAAACAGAAGUGAAUAUGCCGCGAUCCAACCUUUCAAUGCCUGUAGAAUUUUGGCGCACCAUUCUUUUUAUCUUGAACCUAGAAUCCUGGCUCAUUCUUGAUAUAUUUAGGUAAGACCAGAGUGAGUCAGAAGAUGCAAAGUUAAUGUCUCCCAUGAUUUCAUUCCCUAUGGAAAAAAAAACUUAGAAAACAUAUCAAAAACUUUCCAUCGGAGACUGAGAGAAAAAUAAAAAGGAAAAAAAUGAACAAAAGAU
rnacentral:lncRNA from 1 species